rnacentral:rRNA from 1 species
CGAAAGCCUGACGGAGCAAGACCGCGUGAGGGAGGAAGGCUCUUGGGUUGUAAACCUCUUUUCUCAGGGAAGAAGCUCUGACGGUACCUGAGGAAUCAGCAUCGGCUAACUCCGUGCCAGCAGCCGCGGUAAUACGGAGGAUGCAAGCGUUAUCCGGAAUCAUUGGGCGUAAAGCGUCCGCAGGUGGCGUAUCAAGUCUGCUGUCAAAGACUAGAGCUUAACUCCGUUAAGGCAGUGGAAACUGAAUGGCUAGAGUGCCGUAGGGGUAGAGGGAAUUCCCGGUGUAGCGGUGAAAUGCGUAGAGAUCGGGAAGAACAUCGGUGGCGAAAGCGCUCUACUGGACGGCAACUGACACUCAGGGACGAAAGCUAGGGGAGCG